GAUGAACGCUGGCGGCGUGCCUAAUACAUGCAAGUCGAGCGAACGGAUGAGAAGCUUGCUUCUCUGAUGUUAGCGGCGGACGGGUGAGUAACACGUGGAUAACCUACCUAUAAGACUGGGAUAACUUCGGGAAACCGGAGCUAAUACCGGAUAAUAUUUUGAACCGCAUGGUUCAAAAGUGAAAGGCGGUCUUGCUGUCACUUAUAGAUGGAUCCGCGCUGCAUUAGCUAGUUGGUAAGGUAACGGCUUACCAAGGCAACGAUGCAUAGCCGACCUGAGAGGGUGAUCGGCCACACUGGAACUGAGACACGGUCCAGACUCCUACGGGAGGCAGCAGUAGGGAAUCUUCCGCAAUGGGCGAAAGCCUGACGGAGCAACGCCGCGUGAGUGAUGAAGGUCUUCGGAUCGUAAAACUCUGUUAUUAGGGAAGAACAUAUGUGUAAGUAACUGUGCACAUCUUGACGGUACCUAAUCAGAAAGCCACGGCUAACUACGUG
rnacentral:rRNA from 1 species